AAUCUUGGUCAAUGGGGGGAACCCUGAUCUAGCCAUGCCGCGAGUGUGAAGAAGGUCUUCGGAUUGUAAGGCACUUUAUGUUGGGAGGAAGAGUUGUAGGCUAAUACCUUGCAAUUUUGACGUUACCAACAGAUUAAGCACCGGCUAACUUCGUGCCAGCAGCCGCGGUAAUACGACGGGUGCAAGCGUUCAUCGGAAUUACUGGGCGUAAAGCGCGCGUAGGUGGUUCGUUAAGUUGGAAGUGAAAGCCCCGGGCUUAACCUGGGAAUUGCUUUCAAAACUGACGAGCUAGAGUACGGUAGAGGGUAGUGGAAUUUCCUGUGUAGCGGUGAAAUGCGUAGAUAUAGGAAGGAACAUCAGUGGCGAAGGCGACUACCUGGACUGAUACUGACACUGAGGUGCGAAAGCGUGGGGAGCAAACA
rnacentral:rRNA from 1 species